UGGGGAAUUUUCCGCAAUGGGCGAAAGCCUGACGGAGCAAUGCCGCGUGGAGGUGGAAGGCCUACGGGUCGUCAACUUCUUUUCUCGGAGAAGAAACAAUGACGGUAUCUGAGGAAUAAGCAUCGGCUAACUCUGUGCCAGCAGCCGCGGUAAGACAGAGGAUGCAAGCGUUAUCCGGAAUGAUUGGGCGUAAAGCGUCUGUAGGUGGCUUUUCAAGUCCGCCGUCAAAUCCCAGGGCUCAACCCUGGACAGGCGGUGGAAACUACCAAGCUGGAGUACGGUAGGGGCAGAGGGAAUUUCCGG
rnacentral:rRNA from 1 species